CAGUCUACAAAUUAUUUUCCGGCCCCCUGACCAUCCGCUCAGGAAAUAAAUUGUCCAGCGGCUGAAUCUAGUUGAUCAUCCCUGUUCUAGUGUCUUGUAUUAAAACAUGAACCACCCUGAAACACUAUCAAUAUGGUCUUAAAAUGUAUGUUUUUGUGUGUGUGUUGAAAUAAAGUUGGCCAUUUUAAACCUAUGUGCUCCAUCUAUGGAGUGUUUGGUCUUCCACUGACCACUGUACUGUCGGUCAACUGUAGGCCAAAUGCACUGCUAUCCUAAUUUGUGCGGACCCCCUUCUUGGGGUGUAGGGUGAAGUUGCCCCUAGAUACUGAUCUUGGGUCAGUUUUGUAUUUCUCCCAUUAAUUAUUAAGGUUAGGAUUGGGGGAGAGGGAGUGGAUCCUAGAUCUGUUCCUAGGGGAAACUUCACCCCGGAGCUUCCCUUGGUCUUAAUCAAUGGUUUUGGACUACCAUUUUAGGAAAUGAACAAUGCUACAUCUUUCCACCAGGUGGCCUCAGCAUCUCACAAACCUCUACAAAGGCAACACCCCAAGGUUGUCCCAUCACUGUGAUUGAGGGUGCACACUAGGGCUGGGGUGCGUUAAGCAGGACGCAAAAUAGAUAGAAAUAGGCUAUGUAGAACCAACAUGCCUCUCUGAAAUGUAGAAUAAGGAAUCACAUCAGCUCUAUUCAUGGCAUUUCUAUCUGCAACAUUAAAAGCAUAUUUGUCAUUCAUCCCAUUGUGUGUGUGUUUAACAGGAAGUCCAAACUUGUAAGAAAGAGACCGAAAGCAGCUCUUUCACGAUAAUAAAAAAUAUCGUUUUUACUAAAGAAGGUUACAAAAAUCAUCACUAUACAGGAGUCAUAUAACUAUUUAAAACGUUUAAAAGAAAAACAACUACAGGGACUACAAUGUCAUCAAGGUACAAUGGAUAUCUUUUUAAAAAAGAGAGUUGAGUGGGGGCAAACACUGCCUACCAUAGUUGUCAGUACAAUUGACUACACAUCACCUGAAAAACUGCAAAGACACAGUCAUGUCGCCUUCAUGCAAUAACGAGGAAACGACAACACACCCUGACUGAAACGCAUCUUCUUAUAUGAAACGGAACAUACGCUUGCCUACAUCAACCUGGCAGCAAAGCACACUGUAUUAUAUCAAACAUAACACACAUGGGAAUAUAGUACUUUUUUCAGUAUUUAGACGUUUCCACACGUGGACAAUACCGACAUGCCUUUUCAUAUGAAAGUUAAAAGAAUCAUUGUUUCACUGGUUUGAGGAAGAUAACUCAGGAGCUUGGGACUAUAAGGUUCUAUCUGCAAAAAGAUGAUUCUGAGAUAACUGGCUAAAGUUUGAGCCCUCAUUGGUUUGAAUGGUGUCAGCUAUUUUUAUAUUGUAUUCUUUUUAACUUAACAUGAAUUGGGGUAUUUAGAGUAUACUGUAUGUAGGUAGAGAACAUUGAACAGAACAAGGCUAUGUCAAUAACUCAAUUUAGACUAAAAUGCAGAUAGAACCUUAUAGUCCCAAGCGUUUGAACUACUCAGUGAUCAUUAUUAUCGAAUAGGUCAUUAUAAUCAAAUAACUGAAAACAAAUAUAUAUAUAUAUAUAUAUAAUUCCUGACUUGUUAACUCUUUAUAUUGUAAACAUCCAAACAAUAUCUGUUCAUAUAACAGGCCUAAAAAUAUGACAGAUGAGUCACUUUUAUUUGCCUUGCCAUUGUAAAAUAAUCGCAAAUAAUGUCAAAGACAAGUUAUUAUUCAUUACUUUAGCACAGGGAAAGAUUCAGCUGCCUAAAAACUGAUAAAAACAUUGAAAACAUUUUGUAUUUUUUCUUCUUCACAUUUCUAAAUGUAUACAAUACAAGCAUCGUAACUCUGUAUUUGCUUACAGUUUCAAAGAUGUUACAUUACUAUUAUAUCAAAUGCAGAACUAGUCAUUGGAUGCUAAACAUAUACUCCAAAGGAAACAUUUACAUAUUGGUAAUCAAAGGUAAAAUAGCAUGUUAAAACAUUUGACCGUGCUCUCCACAUUCAGGAGGUGUCAUUCAAUAGAACUUUCUUUGGGGGCGGUCCAUAUAUUUACAGGUGAACUUCACCCCUUUAAGGGUGGACUUGUCUUGAGGAAAGUGAAUGUAUGAUCCCAAAAACCGGGAGGAGAAAGACAUCCACCCUUCACGGUUGUGUACGAUGAACACAAUGAACAAGCAUUGAACUUUUGUUAUGUUCGCUUCAGCUGUGACCUUGCCUUGUAACAAGUGUGUGCUUAAUCAGUGAAGUGUUAGCCUGGUCCCAGAUCUAUUUGUGCUGUCUUGCCUCCUAUGGUCAUUAUCAUGCCGAACAUAGGAGCUAUAUAGCACAAACAGAUCUGGGACCAGGCUAGAGGAGUCUUUAUUUUGGUUUCGUACCUGAGGUAUGUAUAAUGUAUCACUUACAAACAGAACAAGGCAAUCUGACCUUGAGUGUUGGUUUGUCCUGUGGGUUUAGAAGCAAGGCUGUUUCCAGAGGAAACCUGCCAUACAGAGAGCUAGGUGGAGGUUCACUAGCCUGGUCAAAGAAAUGCGUUAGCACUGCAGACAGCUGCUGACAGAACUGCCGCUUUGGGCCAACAGUCACAUUACUGAAUGUGUCCAAUCCGGUUAGGGUACAGCACACGUUUUUCUCCUCAGGCCAAAAUGAAGAAUUACUCAACAGAAAUUGCUGGCUGUCAAUAAAGGAAUCGGAAAGUUAACAUAAUAGUAGGAAUAUUUUCUAUGAGAGGCACCCUGAGAUGCUUUGUAUGUAAUGUAUACAUGGGGUUUUGUAAUUCUACUUUAGUUUUUUAUAUUUUUAAAUAGUGCAACAUAUCAUGCAUUACCAUAAAAAAAAAGCAAAAAACGAAAUCAGGUAAAACAGGGUUGCGAUAAGAUAACCAAAGGAGAGAAAUACCAGAGAUAAGAGAAGACCAGAUAAAUACAAUAAUAGCAAACCUGUCAUACUUUGAAGUAGUAUAAAAAAAAAACAUUCAUACAUACACAUU